rnacentral:misc_RNA from 1 species
GCCCAGGUACUCCCUCUCCCCCCUCAGAUCCGUUUCCCUUCUCGAUCCACAGAUCCGCCGUCACCGAUGUCGUCGAGCACAAUCCGCAAAGCUCUCGGCGCGGUGAAGGACCAGACCAGCAUCGGCAUCGCCAAGGUCUCCAGCAACAUCGCCCCCGAUCUCGACGUCGCUAUCGUCAAAGCCACCUCCCACGACGACGACCCCGCCGAUGAGAAGUACAUCCGCGAGAUCCUCAACCUCACCGCCUACUCCCGCGGCUACGUCGGCGCUUGCGUCGCGGCCGUUUCCAAGCGCCUCGCCAAGACCCGCGACUGGAUCGUCGCCAUCAAGUCUCUCAUGCUCGUCCACCGCCUCCUCACCGACGGCGAUCCGGCGUUCCAGCAUGAGAUACUCUACGCCACCCGCCGCGGCACUCGCCUGCUUAACAUGUCGGAUUUCCGCGAUGAGGCCCACUCCGGCUCCUGGGACCACUCUGCCUUCG